rnacentral:rRNA from 1 species
GUGCCAGCCGCCGCGGUAAUACGAAGGGGGCUAGCGUUGCUCGGAAUCACUGGGCGUAAAGGGUGCGUAGGCGGGAUCUUAAGUCAGAGGUGAAAGCCUGGAGCUCAACUCCAGAACUGCCUUUGAUACUGGGAUUCUUGAGUUCGGAAGAGGUGAGUGGAACUGCGAGUGUAGAGGUGAAAUUCGUAGAUAUUCGCAAGAACACCAGUGGCGAAGGCGGCUCACUGGUCCGAUACUGACGCUGAGGCACGAAAGCGUGGGGAGCAAACAGGAUUAGAUACCCCCGUAGUCC